rnacentral:rRNA from 1 species
AUGUUUAUCCGCCGUAGAUGGAGAAGAGACAUCCAGAAGAAACUGAGAAGGAAGUAUUAUACAAAGAAUCAUGGCCUCCUUCUGGAACAAUUAAUAUUAUCGAGUGAAGCUGCAGGUGAAACAACAAGGAUUUUCUCGCUGGAGGAGUUAGAUCAGGCAACAAACAACUUUGAUCACACACGGAUCCUUGGCCGUGGAGGGCAUGGCAUGGUCUACAAAGGCAUCUUAUCUGAUCAGCAUGUGGUGGCUAUAAAGAAAUCUAAGGUCAUUGAGCAAGUUGAGAUUGAGCAAUUCAAUGAGGUUGUCAUCCUUUCACAGAUUAACCACAGAAAUAUCGUAAAGCUUUAUGGCUGUUGCCUUGAAAGUGAGGUCCCACUAUUAGUGUAUGAUUUUGUUCCUAAUGGUUCCUUGUUUGAAAUCCUUCAUUCUGGUCCAAGCAACGGUUUUACUUUGUCCUGGGAUGGUUGCCUAAGAAUUGCUGCACAGGCUGCAGGUGCUCUCUAUUAUCUCCACUCCGCAGCGUCCAUAUCAGUCUUCCACCGUGAUGUCAAGUCUUCUAAUAUACUCCUAGAUGCAAACUACACUGCAAAAGUUGCUGACUUUGGUGCGUCAAGAUUGGUGCAUAUAGACCAGACUCAUGUUACAACACAUGUACAAGGCACAUUUGGGUACUUGGAUCCGGAGUAUUUUCGCACUGGGCAUCUAACUGAAAAGAGCGAUGUGUACAGCUUCGGUGUCAUGCUUUUAGAGCUACUUCUCAGAAGGAAGCCUGUUUUUACUGGUGAGUCAGGCUUAGCCCAGAGUUUAUCUUGUUACUUUCUUGCGGAGAUGCAGAAGAGGCCUAUAAGAGAGAUAGUCGCUGCUCAAGUUCGUGAAGAAGCAACCGAGGAAGAAAUUUUCAGUGUUGCCUCUCUCGCAGAGAAGUGCCUACGUAUCCAAGGUGAAGAAAGGCCUACGAUGAAGGAAGUAGAGAUGUCUUUGCAGGUUCUGCAUAAGAAACAUUCGAUGUCAUCCCAUGUCACUCGAGAAAAUGGUAGAGCUGAAGCUGAUGUUUCAUCUCACUCAGCUAACGGAGUUGAUCCAGUCACCACAAACAACCAAAGAUGUUAUAGCUUGGAGCGAGAGUUCAUAUCAUCUGCCAGCUUACCACGCUAA